UACGAAGGGGGCUAGCGUUGCUCGGAAUCACUGGGUGUAAAGCGCACGUAGGCGGCUUUCUAAGUCAGGGGUGAAAUCCUGGAGCUCAACUCCAGAACUGCCUUUGAUACUGGGAGCUCGAGUCCGGAAGAGGUGAGUGGAACUGCGAGUGUAGAGGUGAAAUUCGUAGAUAUUCGCAAGAACACCAGUGGCGAAGGCGGCUCACUGGUCCGGUACUGACGCUGAGGUGCGAAAGCGUGGGGAGCGAACGAGG
rnacentral:rRNA from 1 species